AAGAUGUGCUAGGGGUGCCAAAAAGAUUGGCUGAGAGAUGUAUUUAUUACAUUAACCCUUUAACCUGAUCUGGGUAAUACCAGCGUAGGAAAGCCGUGAGUAGUUUUU
rfam:Clostridium baratii str. Sullivan, complete genome.